GACGAUACAUAGCCGACGUGAGAGGGUGAUCGGCCACACUGGGAGUGAGACACGGCCCAGACUCUUACGGGAGGCAGCAGUAGGGAAUCUUCGGCAAUGGGGGCAACCCUGACCGAGCAACGCCGCGUGAGUGAAGAAGGUUUUCGGAUCGUAAAGCUCUGUUGUAAGAGAAGAACGUGUGUGAGAGUGGAAAGUUCACACAGUGACGGUAACUUACCAGAAAGGGACGGCUAACUACGUGCCAGCAGCCGCGGUAAUACGUAGGUCCCGAGCGUUGUCUGGAUUUAUUGGGCGUAAAGCGAGCGCAGGCGGUUUAAUAAGUCUGAAGUUAAAGGCAGUGGGUUAACCAUUGUUCGGUUUGGAAACUGUUAAACUUGAGUGCAGAAGGGAGAGAGUGGAAUUCCAUGUGUAGCGGUGAAAUGCGUAGAUAUAUGGAGGAACACCGGUGGGGAAAGCGGCUUCCUCUGGUCUGUAACUGACGCUGAGGCUCGAAAGCGUGGGGAGCAAACAGGAUUAGAUACCCUGGUAGUCCACGCCGUAAACGAUGAGUGCUAGGUGUUAGGCCCUUUCCGGGGCUUAGUGCCGCAGCUAACGCAUUAAGCACUCCCCCUGGGGAGUACGACCGCAAGGUUGAAACUCAAAGGAAUUGACGGGGGCCCGCACAACCGGUGGAGCAUGUGGUUUAAUUCAAAGCAACGCAAAAAACCUUACCAGGUCUUGACAUCCCGAUGCUAUUUCUAAAGAUAGAAAGUUUCUUCGGAACAUCGGUGACAGGGGGGGCGAUGGGGUGUCGUCAGCUCCUGUCGUGAGAUGUUGGGUUAAGUCCCGCAACGAGCGCAACCCCCUAUUGUUAGUUGCCAUCAUUCAGUUGGGCACUCUAGCGAGACUGCCGGUGAUAAACCGGAGGAAGGUGGGGAUGACGUCAAAUCAUCAUGCCCCUUAUGACGUGGGCUACACACGUGCUACAAUGGUUGGUACAACGAGUCGCAAGCCGGUGACGGCAAGCAAAUCUCUUAAAGCCAAUCUCAGUUCGGAUUGUAUGCUGCAACUCGCCUACAUGAAGUCG
rnacentral:rRNA from 1 species